rnacentral:rRNA from 1 species
UAGGGAAUCUUCGGCAAUGGACGAAAGUCUGACCGAGCAACGCCGCGUGAGUGAAGAAGGUUUUCGGAUCGUAAAACUCUGUUGUUAGAGAAGAACAAGGACGUUAGUAACUGAACGUCCCCUGACGGUAUCUAACCAGAAAGCCACGGCUAACUACGUGCCAGCAGCCGCGGUAAUACGUAGGUGGCAAGCGUUGUCCGGAUUUAUUGGGCGUAAAGCGAGUGCAGGCGGUUUCUUAAGUCUGAUGUGAAAGCCCCCGGCUCAACCGGGGAGGGUCAUUGGAAACUGGGAGACUUGGGUGCAGAAGAGGAGAGUGGAAUUCCAUGUGGAGCGGUGAAAUGCGUAGAUAUAUGGAGGAACACCAGUGGCGAAGGCGGCUCUCUGGUCUGUAACUGACGCUGAGGCUCGAAAGCGUGGGGAGCAAACAGG